UUAUAAAAAACUAUUUUUAUAACAUUUUUUUAUAUUUUUUUAUUUUUAUAAAAAUCUAUUUGUAUUUAUUUUUUAUCAAAAUUCUUAUUUAUUAUUACAACAAAAUCCAUAAUAUUCAACAAAAUAUUUUCUUUCAACUCAACUAAACUAAGAAAAUCGCACACUCAACGAAAUCGCAUGAUAUUUUAUAGUUAGCUUGCAAUAAAUUUAUUUGCUAUCUCAGCAGCUCACCGAAUAUUUCGAUAUAAGACACUUUAAAAUAUAAUAGUUAAUUUAUAAUUUAUGAUAUUUAUAAAUUAAUAUUUUUAAUUAUAAAAUAACAGUAAAUAAUAUUUUAAUUAUUAUUAUUAAAUAUUAUAUUUUACUUUUGUACUUAUCUAAACAGCUAGCUUAUUGUAGCUUCCGAAGAUCGAACUCUCCCUAACGUGCUUUGAAAGUAAUUUGCAAUUACUAUCCCUUUUUUAAUGUAAACAUAACUUAUUUAUAUUAAUUUUAAAUAAAAAAGUAUUUACAAUACAGGUUUUAGUGACAGAUAACGGAUAUCUCAAUAAUCUUAAAAUCUUUUUAAUAAUAAUUUUCAGCAAUGGUCUCAAUAAGUUGAGCAUAUACUGUACAGAAAAAAAUAAAAUAAAUACUUUUAUCCAUAAUAACUUAUGUUUAAAACAAUUUCAUUAUAAUAAAUUGUUUUUUAAAUCAAAAAUUAGCUGCAAUAUAAUUGAUAUUUUUUUCGAAAAAUUCCUUAAAAAAUUUAAUAUAUUAAUUUUGAGAAUUUAGACUGUACAUACUUAUUUGUAUGUUAUGUUAAAGCUUUUUGCGUCUAUUUAAUCGAAAUGCACAUAAAUAGAAAAAUUGUAGAUUAAAAGUGGAGGUGUGGGUCGCCAAACAAUUUAAAUGAUAUAAAAAAAAAUUAAAAAUUCACAAAACGAACAUUAAAUUCCAAUAUAUACGUACAAAUAUUUAUUUAUAUAUAUUUUGCUAUUAUUUUUAUAUGAAUUUCGCUAAUUUUUUUUUAAUAAAAAUAUAAUUAAAUUAAAGAAAAUAUUUUUACAAUUUAAGUGAAAACCAAUUUAUAUUAGAACGAAAUAAAACUGAGUACCUUGAAAUCUCGCUAAAACUAUGUAUGUAUGUAUAAACGUAAUUUUAUUGUAUGUAUGAACUAUGUAGUAAAUAAAUAAAUUAAUAAAUAUGAAGAAAUUGGUGAGAAACUAUAUAAUAUAAUGAUAACAAUGAAAUGCAAAUGUAAAUAUUUGUUGACAUAAAUAUGAAGAAAAAAACUCAUUUGUGUAUGUGUAUGUUUGUAAAUGAUUUUUCAAAAUACAUAUUUUAAAUAUUUUAGUGGAUAACAUACAGAAUAGUCAAAGUAUUUACAGAAAUUCCGCCAACAUUUCCACCUUUUGUUUACGCUAUUUUUUUCAAAAUCAACAUUUAAAACUUCAUCAAUAGAAUUUUUCAAUAAAAUUGUAUGUGAAAAUUUGGAAAAAUAGAAAAAAAAGGAGCUUAAAUAUUUACGUAUAUGUAUAUGUUAAGAUGGUUGAUAAAGUGAUAAUAUUGUAUGGGACCAACUGUAAAUAUUAAUAGAAAUACGCUUAGAAAGCUCGACAUUUUUUUUCAGAAAUGAGUAAAGCUUAAUAUUGUUUUGUUGUUGUAAUAUCGAAAUCUCAAAACAAAUCCCGAAAUACUCAACAGAACAUAACUACGCGUUCAUUGUGGUCCUAAGAUCUAAUCCAUAUCUGAAAUCUGAGCAGAUUUGUGUAUUGCCAAGUACCUCAGUCAAAUAAUUAUAUGUGCAUGAACUUUUUGCAAAAAAAAAAUUAAAGAAUAUAAAAUUGCAAAAUAUUUCUGAGUAUGCAGGUUUGUUAUUAUUAAUGUAUACGAUAUAAAAAACAAAAAAUUAACAAAUUUCAAAAUAUUUUUUAAACUAUAAAACAAAAUUGAAGUUUAGGCUAAUGGUAAAUAUUUAUAUGUGCAUUUUACUAUUUUUACCAGUAAAGCCUAUACAUUUGAGUUUAACUGAAAGAAAUGUUUAUUUUAAUAGUAAGUAGAAUUGUCAUUAUAUUUUAAAACUAAAUUAAGCCGCUUAAUCAGAGAAUUAACUACUGACUGUAGAAUAGUUAUGUAAAUAUUGGCAAAUUCUUGCUUUAUGGCUAAUUUAAGGUGACGUACUGUCUCAAACUGCUUUCCGUUUUGGAAAACAGGAGCAGAGAGGUUCCCCCAGAGAUCC